GCCCCAUUGGCGCAGUCGGUUAGCGCGUGGUACUUAUAGUCUAUAGGUUAUGCCAAGGUCGCCAGUUCGAGCCUGGCAUGGGGCA
rnacentral:tRNA from 1 species